rnacentral:rRNA from 1 species
UACAGGGGGGGCAAGCGUUGUUCGGAAUUACUGGGCGUAAAGGGUCUGUAGGUGGCCAACUAAGUCAAACGUGAAAUCCCUCAGCUUAACUGGGGAACUGCGUCUGAUACUGGAUGGCUCGAGUGUGGGAGAGGAAUGCGGAAUUCCAGGUGUAGCGGUGAAAUGCGUAGAUAUCUGGAGGAACACCGGUGGCGAAGGCAGCUCACUACGGGUAUAUUGACACUGAGGCACGAAAGCGUGGGGAUCAAACAGG